CGGUAAGGCCCUUCGGGGUACACGAGCGGCGAACGGGUGAGUAACACGUGAGCAACCUGCCCCUGACUCCGGGAUAAGCGGUGGAAACGCCGUCUAAUACCGGAUACGACCCGCCACCUCAUGGUGGAGGGUGGAAAGUUUUUCGGUCAGGGAUGGGCUCGCGGCCUAUCAGCUUGUUGGUGGGGUAACGGCCUACCAAGGCGAUUACGGGUAGCCGGCCUGAGAGGGCGACCGGCCACACUGGGACUGAGACACGGCCCAGACUCCUGCGGGAGGCAGCAGUGGGGAAUAUUGCGCAAUGGGCGAAAGCCUGACGCAGCGACGCCGCGUGGGGGAUGACGGCCUUCGGGUUGUAAACCUCUUUUACCACCAACGCAGGCUCGAAGUUCUCUUCGGGUUGACGGUAGGUGGGGAAUAAGGACCGGCUAACUACGUGCCAGCAGCCGCGGUAAUACGUAGGGUCCGAGCGUUGUCCGGAAUUAUUGGGCGUAAAGAGCUCGUAGGCGGCGUGUCGCGUCUGCUGUGAAAGACCGGGGCUUAACUCCGGUUCUGCAGUGGAUACGGGCAUGCUAGAGGUAGGUAGGGGAGACUGGAAUUCCUGGUGUAGCGGUGAAAUGCGCAGAUAUCAGGAGGAACACCGGUGGCGAAGGCGGGUCUCUGGGCCUUACCUGACGCUGAGGAGCGAAAGCAUGGGGAGCGAACAGGAUUAGAUACCCUGGUAGUCCAUGCCGUAAACGUUGGGCGCUAGGUGUGGGGACUU
rnacentral:rRNA from 1 species